UGGGCUAUGGCAGUUGGAGUAACCUGCAGCCUCACCCACAGAAAGUAUAUCACACUGCAUUUGUGGUCACUGAGAAUCCCACUGGGCAGAUUUUUAGCUAAGAACACUUCUUACCACUGCCCAGUUAUGAUCUGGAACUCUCAGUCAAUCCUCUCAAAAUGACAUCCCAGGCAGCUUCCCUGUGUCUGAAGAAUGGACACAGGGUUCAGCAUCUGGACUCCAGGGAGCCCUAACUGACCACCAGUGUGACACCAUCUGUGACUGCCUAAAAAAUUAUGCAGUGACCUGUGUCCAUUCUAUAAGGAAUUAAUCUCUUGGCCUCUCUUCCUUCUGAUGACCCAGUGUACUUCCCCUGAGUAGUCUGGACCUGGGUCUUAGGAGCCCUCCUCCCCAUGAGGAGUAUCAGUCUUCCUGGGGCUUCCUGGGCCAUGUCAAGUGCAUCCUCUAAGGCUCUUUCCUUCCCUUACUUCUGCUCAGUGAGUUGACCUCAGGAGAAAUACUCCAUUCUAACUCCCAAGGGUUUUGGGGGCGACUGGUUCUCAGAUAACCCCUGACCCUCCAGGCUCACCUCCUUCCAAAGGUCAGGACACUGGACACAGUUUCUCACAGUCUCCACAGUGGGUAAUGUCAGUACAGGACCCAGAGAGUGACCUGUCUGUAACAGAUGCUCAGGGUCCAACUGAGCCAAGCUGGGACAAGUUUAAAUGUAAACCCCAGUGGAAUGUUGGACCCAGACAUUCUGCAGGGGGGAGGAGCCAAGGACAGCUGGCCUGGGUGGGGGCUGGGCAGACAUUCCAUGAAGAGCUCUGGUAGAUAUAGAAGGACUUUUGAAUUCCCUUCAGGCAAUUCAAGGGUGACACAAGUGGUGUGUGCCUCUGGGUCAUUUUGAAGUAGUUUCUAGAAUCCACAGGAGAGGAGUGUGACCAGUGGCCCUCUCUUUCAACAACCCAGUCGUCUUUGCUCCCCCGAUGGGCAGGACCAGUGAACCAUGGCUCUCAUGAGCCACAUAAUCACGGGUAUAAACAGCCAAUACUCUAAAACACUGUGGGGUGUGG
rnacentral:lncRNA from 1 species